UACGUAGGUGGCAAGGGUUGUCCGGAUUUACUGGGCGUAAAGAGCGCGCAGGCGGUCGUUCAAGUCGCGUGUGAAAGCCCCCGGCUCAACUGGGGAGGGUCACGCGAUACUGAUCGACUCGAAGGCAGGAGAGGGUAGUGGAAUUCCCGGUGUAGUGGUGAAAUGCGUAGAUAUCGGGAGGAACACCAGUGGCGAAGGCGACUACCUGGCCUGUUCUUGACGCUGAGGCGCGAAAGCUAGGGGAGCAAACGGG
rnacentral:rRNA from 1 species